AUUAGGACACGGACACACACAGAGGGGAGGCCACAGGAAGACACAGGAGGAAGACGGCCAUCUCCGGGCAAGGAGAGAGGCCUCAGAAGAAACCAGCCUGCCCGCAUUUGGAUCUCAGCUGGCUGGUCUCCAGAGCUGCUGCCCUUGGUGAUGCCCACAUCUGACACCUCCACGGGGUGACAGGGCCUGGCCACCGCCGCCUCUGCCACUGCAAGGUGCCGAAGGGGUGCUGCAGCCAACCAGCAAGGAGGCUGCCCCGUGGAUUUCUGCCCUGAAGACAUUCUACACGACAGUGGGUCACCUGCGCACCUUGUCAAAACAGUACCUGCUAUCCCCCUGCUGCCCUCUGUCCCACGGACUUGGCCCAUGGGAGGGUGUCUGGGAACCAUACACCUAGGGCAGGCAGUGCUGGCUCCCCAGUCCCCGGGGCCCGCCCCUCUGGGUGCCUCCCUCAAGCCUUCAUGCAAGCCAGCACAUACACACGUGCCCCGGGAAGCCCACCCCACACGAUGACCAAGCACGCUUAGAAAUAUCUGGAUCCCCACGCAGACAUGACUCAGGCUCUGACUUCCCUCUAGUAUACGGGAUUGUUAAUUUUUUUUUUUAUAGAUUAUAAUCAGCGUGCAUUCA